GACGAACGCUGGCGGCGUGCCUAAUACAUGCAAGUCGAACGCAGUGGGGACGGGUGAGUAACACGUGGGUAACCUCCCAUCAGAGGGGAAAACACUGGGAAACAGGUGCUAAACCGAGACUGAUGGAUGGACCCGCGGUGGAUUAGCUAGUUGGUGAGGUAACGGCUCACCAAGGCCACGAUGCAUAGCCGGUCUGAGAGGGUGAUCGGCCACACUGGGACUGAGACACGGCCCAGACUCCUACGGGAGGCAGCAGUAGGGAAUCUUCGGCAAUGGACGCAAGUCUGACCGAGCAACGCCGCGUGAGUGAAGAAGGUUUUCGGGUCGUAAAGCUCUGUUGUUAGAGAAGCGGUAUCUAACCAGAAAGCCACGGCUAACUACGUGCCAGCAGCCGCGGUAAUUC
rnacentral:rRNA from 1 species